CGAAGCAUGAAGCUAGCUCUCUGAUCCUUCUUAAAAACUUAUUCUCUCCCCCUUCAUUUCUUAACCUAUCCUCCCCUUUAACCCUAAUUCUCCCCUCUCUCAAACCCUAGCCUCUGAAUUUUCUUCAAUCUUCCGUCUUGGAUCUGGAAUUGGCUCCGCCGUUAGAGCUUUCUCCUCUGUUUUUACCUUUAAAAGAUUCUUUUAUCGAAAACAAUAUUCCUUGAAAUG
rnacentral:lncRNA from 1 species